UACAGAGGGUGCGAGCGUUAAUCGGAAUUACUGGGCGUAAAGCGCACGUAGGUGGCGACGUAAGUCGGGUGUGAAAGCCCCGGGCUCAACCUGGGAAUUGCAUUCGAGACUGCAUUGCUGGAGUACGGAAGAGGCGGGCGGAAUUCCCGGUGUAGCGGUGAAAUGCGUAGAUAUCGGGAGGAACAUCAGUGGCGAAGGCGGCCCUCUGGUCCAGUACUGACACUCAAGUGCGAAAGCGUGGGGAGCAAACAGG
rnacentral:rRNA from 1 species